GGGAUAUUGCACAAUGGGGGAAACCCUGAUGCAGCGACGCCGCGUGGGCGAAGAAGUAUUUCGGUAUGUAAAGCCCUAUCAGCAGGGAAGAAGAAAUGACGGUACCUGAGUAAGAAGCACCGGCUAAAUACGUGCCAGCAGCCGCGGUAAUACGUAUGGUGCAAGCGUUAUCCGGAUUUACUGGGUGUAAAGGGAGCGUAGACGGCAGCACAAGUCUGGAGUGAAAUGCCGGGGCUUAACCCCGGAACUGCUUUGGAAACUGUGCAGCUAGAGUGCAGGAGAGGUAAGUGGAAUUCCUAGUGUAGCGGUGAAAUGCGUAGAUAUUAGGAGGAACACCAGUGGCGAAGGCGGCUUACUGGACUGUAACUGACGUUGAGGCUCGAAAGCGUGGGGAGCAAACAG
rnacentral:rRNA from 1 species